rnacentral:lncRNA from 1 species
AUAUACUCAACAAGUUGGCCCAAGGCAGAAGGAAACAUAUGUUAUAAAUUCCCCCACAUACAUGUGGUUGUUGAUGAUCCCAUACAAUACAUGACAUGACAGGAGAGGUGAAGUGUGCCUUUUUUCUGCAGGGUUUGGCGAGGCUUGCACAACAGCCUGGAAUUGCAGGAGGACAAUAACUUCAAUAUAUUGUUUUUCCUUUGUGCACCUAAAGAGCACGUUUUUUUGGAUGAGCUCACUUAAUGGGGGACAAAGUGAUCAGGCCACUGGCAAAAAUUGAAGAUUUUUGUACCUCGUUGUUUUUAAGGAAAAUGGUUAAAUGUUGUGAUUUCUAAAAUGAUACUGCUUGUCACUUUUCGAUAAGGAUACAUUCUUUCUUCUCAUAAAUCAUAAUUUGACAUAAGCGAAUUUUUUUAGGGCAUGAAAUUAAUAUUGAGUUAGGGUAAUAUCUAAGAAGUUCUAUGCUUUUUUUUUUUUUUUUUUUGUUUUGUUUUUUUUGUGAAAAAGAAUUUAGGGAGAGGGAAGGCCACCCCAUCCUAAGAGAGAUUGUCGGCGGUGGAAUUUAAAUUUAGACCUUGAUUGAGAAGAGAACGAUCCUUAUCAACUCAACCAACCUCGUUAUGCUUUAAUAGUCCUUUAGAAUAGAUAAGGAUAAGUGCACAAAGGUUCACUAUGGUGAGGAAAGGGUUAAACUG